GCCUAACACAUGCAAGUCGAGCGGCAGCACAAGUGAGUUUACUCAUGAGGUGGCGAGCUGGCUGGACGUGGUGAGUAAUGCCUAGGGAUCUGCCCAGUCGAGGGGUGAUAACAGUUUGGAAACGACUGCUAAUACCGCAUACGCCCUACGGGGUGAAAGAGGGGGACCUUCGGGCCUCUCGCGAUUGGAUGAACCUAUGUGGGAUUAGCUAGUUGGUGAGGUAAUGGCUCACCAANGCGACUGAUCCCUAGCUGUUCUGAGAGUGAUGAUCAGCACACUGGGACUGAGACACGGCCCAGACUCCUACGGGAGGCAGCAGUGGGGAUUAUUUGCACAAUGGGGNGAAACCCUGAUGCAGACCAUAGCCGCGUGUAGUGAAGAAGUGCCUUCGGGUUGUAACAGCACUUUCA
rnacentral:rRNA from 1 species